CACAAUCCAGUAGCAGCCGUCGCCCAAGCUCAGUUGGCCGGAGACGGGCAACAGCGAACAUGCUGAGCUGCUUCCCCACUUCGCGAGGCCGCAGCCCCAGGACCCCAGGCAGAGAAAGUAUCUGUGAAAGAUUGAGAAGACGGUUGACACCAUCCAGACGCAGCAGGCCGCACUGCAGCAGCGACACAACUGCUGGAUCAGGUCUGGAGCUAAGAAGUUUUCUGCCUCAUGAAUAUGCAAAUAACCAGCAUCUGCUGAGGUAAAUAUGGAUAUAUCUGUGCCCCAGAGCAUUCCACAGCCAUCACCCUCUUCUGAAGAAUCCCCC
rnacentral:lncRNA from 1 species